rnacentral:rRNA from 1 species
AUUGAACGCUGGCGGCAUGCUUAGCACAUGCAAGUCGAACGGCAGCGCGGGGAGCUUGCUCCCUGGCGGCGAGUGGCGGACGGGUGAGUAACGCGUGGGAAUCUGCCCAGUAGUGGGGGACAACCCGAGGAAACUCGGGCUAAUACCGCAUACGCCCUACGGGGGAAAGCAGGGGAUCUUCGGACCUUGCGCUAUUGGAUGAGCCUGCGUCGGAUUAGCUUGUUGGUGAGGUAACGGCUCACCAAGGUGACGAUCCGUAGCUGGUCUGAGAGGACGAUCAGCCACACUGGGACUGAGACACGGCCCAGACUCCUACGGGAGGCAGCAGUGGGGAAUAUUGGACAAUGGGCGCAAGCCUGAUCCAGCAAUGCCGCGUGUGUGAAGAAGGCCCUAGGGUUGUAAAGCACUUUCAGUUGGGAAGAAACGCAGGGUGUUAAUACCACCCUGUAAUGACGUUACCGACAGAAGAAGCACCGGCUAACUCCGUGCCAGCAGCCGCGGUAAUACGGAGGGUGCGAGCGUUAAUCGGAAUUACUGGGCGUAAAGGGCGCGUAGGCGGCUCUGUAAGUCGGGUGUGAAAGCCCCGGGCUCAACCUGGGAAUUGCAUUCGAUACUGCAGGGCUAGAGUAUGGUAGAGGAAAGCGGAAUUCCCGGUGUAGCGGUGAAGUGCGUAGAUAUCGGGAGGAACACCAGUGGCGAAGGCGGCUUUCUGGACCAAUACUGACGCUGAGGCGCGAAAGCGUGGGGAGCAAACAGGAUUAGAUACCCUGGUAGUCCACGCCCUAAACGAUGAGAACUAGCCGUUGGGGGUAUUUAAACCCUUCGUGGCGCAGCUAACGCGAUAAGUUCUCCGCCUGGGGAGUACGGCCGCAAGGUUAAAACUCAAAGGAAUUGACGG